GUUACCUGACAUGUCAGGUGGGCAAACAGGAGGGGCGGAGUUGAUUGAACACCACUCAGAGCCCAUCCCUCCCUGAGUUUCAGGAAAAAGUCCCGGGGCUGGACCAUGUCUCUGAGCUCCCUCAGCCUCGGGCCUGGCCUUACAGGCUGACUCUACAAACCACGCUUCACACAUCAUCAAAGAAGGAAUGAGUGCUCUGGGGACCAAGGCCUUUUCUUUUUAUCUGUUGGCUUUUGAUGGAAGAAGUUAUUUUUUCCUGAAAUUUUCCAUUCCUCACUUGGUUUUCAUAUACCUGACUGGCCAGAGCUGUAUCACUUCGUCACCCAAACUUCCAUAUGCUACCAAAGUAAGCAAGAUGCUGUUGACUGGUUUACAGCUCAGCCUCUGAGGAUGGGACUGUUCUAGGUGGGAAAUAAUGGUCUGGAUUCUCUUGCUAAGGAAGAAGACAGAAACCACUUUGGUGUGAGGAGUUCGGUCCAAAUCCAAUAUUGAUGGGUCAUCGAGUGGAGAACAACUAUUAAAAACUGGAAGUGUGAAGACCACCUGGCCUGAGGUGUGGCCACUGUAAAGAGGAUGGGGCAGCCUUGCCACUGGAAACGAUGUGAGAACACAGAGAGUAAGAAACAAGUGGGCUCUCUGGCACAAAGCAGAGAUUCAUGUCCAGCUUGCAGGCAGAAAGGCGGACUUGAGUCAGAGGCAUCGUACUGGUUUCUCUGCUUGUCCUUCCCCUGCCCCCACGCCUACUCAGAAGGGAAGUUACCCAGCCCACCUCUGUGUGCAUCUGCGGCAGCAGGGACCUGGAAUCUGUGGGCUGCAACUUGGCUUCAGGUUGACUGCGUCCUGUGGAGAUGGGGGAAGAGAAUGUCAUCAAUGAUGGUGCCGCUAGCUGGAUUUUAACAAGGCUGCCCCAGUAAAGAUUUUGAGACGGAGCUGCUCACCCUUCCAUAAUUCAUGGCUCCCCGAUGCAGGACCCUCUGUGGGAGCGGACUGGAGCGCGUGGAGGCUAACACUGCAGAAACGCCUGCCCGGAUGUGUGCAAAGGGACAGCCGGCGCCUUCCCGGCCAGGUACACCAGGGAUGGCCUCGGUUGCCUGUGGCCCCUCACGCUGCCAGGUCUGGCCACCACGUGCCGGCAAUGCCUUCAGCAGCGGCCAUCACCCCCUGUCCAUCACUGGUCUUUACAGCGUGGGGGCUCCAGAGAUGCGUCAGCGUGUGCGUGGCCAGCCCGUGCCGCUCUCUCUGAGGGGGGAUUCUUGCUCACUGGCGUCCGGGGAGACAGGAAAGCAGCAGGAGCAGCAGUAAGUGUGGAUAACGCUGGAGCCGGGCCUCUCUUGACAGCAUCUCCGGGAAGCCAGAUCAGCACUUGAAGGAGAAACUUCCUACAGACUCAGCGUUUGUGGCCCGGCAAAUAAAAUGCCAUCCCUACAAUGCUGGCACCCUGUCCCUGCAGUGGGACGGCGCUGUGAGUCCAUGUCGCGACUUUCUCCUACUAGUCCUGCUGCAGUCAGCUACACCUCAGCGUAGGCCCCAAUCCCUCCUGCCACAUGAGGGCACGGCGGGGAGACGGUGUCUGGGAGCAGGAGACAGCCCGUCUCACCACGUCUGCUGUGCCUUGAGCUUGAACUUCUCACCUUCCCGACCAGGAGAAGUAGUUGUUAUUUACCAGCAACCUAAUCUGCAGGAUUGGUUCCAGCCCCCCAGUAGACAAAAGCAAUAUCUAAACACCCUGGAACAGGACAGAGGUUUGAGGAAGAAGAAAUCAUAACGUAUCUACUAAGAAGUAUCUACACAUCCAUCACCAGAUCGACUCUGUGAGAUGGUACCAUGGGAGUAUUUCUUAAGUGGAGGGAUGGAUGGCUAGAUGCAUGCACAGACCAAAUCUCACAGAGCCCACAGCAAUGAUGGUGACACAGCCCUGCUCUCCAUACGUGCAGCUGGAGCGCCUGGUCAUUUAAUCACAUCCUGUUCAUGGUCAUGGAAUGUGCCGUCAGGGACACUGAGCUCAGGGCCACGCCUACGUGAGAGGCAGAUGCGAGUGACACUGGCGGCAGUGGAAGGACCUUACGGUGAUAUUCUUGCACCUGCUGUUUAACUCAAUAGAUAUUUUUUAACACCCGUCUGUGUGAGGAACCAGGUAGGGCUUGUCCACGUGAUGGCAAAGGGGCCUCCUAUUUGGAUCUGCAGAAAGAUGGGAAGGGAGCCCCACUAAGAAAGUUGAGUGCUGGGACCCCAGAGCUGAGCAUGGUGGCCGGGUAAGAGCCCUUCUGCUUGAGCUCUAUUCUUCCACCUGUGCUAAUGAAUGAAAGCAUUUCCCUAGAAAGUUAUAGAGGGACCUUUACUGUGGCUUAUGCAUCAAGCUGGCGUUAGACACAGAGAAUGUUGCACGAGCUUUAUAAGGUCAUGGAAAAAAAGACUUAAUCCAAGCAGUUUGUGGAUUUGAGACUUGAGUUGGUUUUGGAAAUGGAAACUCGCCUUUGGCCCACACAUGAUGAAAGUGUUUGCCUAUUGAACGCGAAAUACUAUCUUCGUGCAAAUUAUUUAUACAUAUGCAGCAGAAUCCUGGCAUCAUCUCGAUGCAUUUGCUCAGUCACUUAUUACCUAGAUCUUCCCAAGUUCUCACAAAACUACACACGUCUGAUAGAAAUUGCUUCGUGUGGAAGGGCAUCAAUCACUCCCACGGCAAGAGGAAUACGCUGUGCAACCAGUGGAAACAUUAAAAGGAUAUUGACUACGACUGUGAUAGAGAACGAUACCUUGAGUCCUCCCAGCUUUUUAUUCCCCAAACAGGUAACGUAAAUUCAGGUGGCGCCUGAUGCCUCACACUGUGGACUGUGGAUUUAGGAGCUGAGAGAGGGAGAGCUUUGGUCUCCUACACAAAGUCGUGUUUUUCCAAACUUGACGCACAGGUUCUGCCUCUGCGCUACAUGGAUAUGGCAGUGCUGUGUCCACCAGCGAGUCCGCCCUUCUGGCCUCCCUCCUCCCUCUUUGCUUCUAGUGUCCCUCGAGUGUUGGUUACUCCUUCUCUCUGAGUGUCCUCCAGAGUCAAGUGUCUCAAAGGCCUUCGGUGUUCCUAGGCAUCAUGAGAUUCUUCUCGUGUUUCCUGAUCUGUCUCCUGAGAUUUAUUUGCAAGGGUGUGGGAAAAAAGUCCUCAUUUGCCACCUUAAUGAAAGACGCUUCUCUCUAGAAAACCUUACAAGGAAAAACCACAUUAAAUGAAAGCAGAACCAGGGUCAUGUAAACACAUUUUACAAUGGGAGGAAAUGAACUAUGUAAAUCAGAUGCACCCGUAAAUUUGAAAUGGGCGCUAAAGUCAAGCUUCCAAGAUAGUUGACCUGAUUUUGCUCUACCUGGAAUAAAUGUCAUCUGAAUUCACCUAGAAAAUAACAAAAAUGUGUCAGUCAGCGUAUAGAUCCUAAUUCCGGACUCUAAUUAGAGCAGAGGAAGGGGUUCCGGAAGCGAUGAGGGCAGCACUUCGGCGCGCAGGAUUUGGCACAACGGUAAGGGCCCCAAGGAAACAUCCUGCCCCAGAUCACAGAUAGUGGGGAACAUCCCUGCUCUCCCCCAGGAAUACUCACUUGGUAGCUCAAAUAUCUAAUAAUGGUGAAAACUGCAAAGUGCGUAUGUGAGGGUUGACUGGCAUUGGGCGCCUUUGGGGCACUUGAUGAGGUUUCCAAGGAAUCAGGUGCACCAGCGUGCACCCUCGGGAAGGGUGGGGCUGCCGCCACCAGCCAGGGGAGCCUGCUGACACCAGCAGGGACUCAGCUGCGAGGAGACACGGUCCCCAAGUCAUCGUGUGGAGACUUUCAAGUGACCAUUUUUAAGGGUUUUAAGUAAAAACCCUCCCCUGAAAAUGAAAUGGGAAAAUGAUGGUGGGGCUUUGUAAG